AGUCGAGCGAAGUACGAGUAGCUUGCUUCUCUGAUGUUAGCGGCGGACGGGUGAGUAACACGUGGGUAACCUACCUAUAAGACUGGGAUAACUCCGGGAAACCGGGGCUAAUACCGGAUAAUAUUUUGAACCGCAUGGUUCAAUAGUGAAAGACGGUUUCGGCUGUCACUUAUAGAUGGACCCGCGCCGUAUUAGCUAGUUGGUAAGGUAACGGCUUACCAAGGCGACGAUACGUAGCCGACCUGAGAGGGUGAUCGGCCACACUGGAACUGAGACACGGUCCAGACUCCUACGGGAGGCAGCAGUAGGGAAUCUUCCGCAAUGGGCGAAAGCCUGACGGAGCAACGCCGCGUGAGUGAUGAAGGUCUUCGGAUCGUAAAACUCUGUUGUUAGGGAAGAACAAAUUUGUUAGUAACUGAACAAGUCUUGACGGUACCUAACCAGAAAGCCACGGCUAACUACGUGCCAGCAGCCGCGGUAAUACGUAGGUGGCAAGCGUUAUCCGGAAUUAUUGGGCGUAAAGCGCGCGUAGGCGGUUUCUUAAGUCUGAUGUGAAAGCCCACGGCUCAACCGUGGAGGGUCAUUGGAAACUGGGAAACUUGAGUGCAGAAGAGGAGAGUGGAAUUCCAUGUGUAGCGGUGAAAUGCGCAGAGAUAUGGAGGAACACCAGUGGCGAAGGCGGCUCUCUGGUCUGUAACUGACGCUGAUGUGCGAAAGCGUGGGGAUCAAACAGGAUUAGAUACCCUGGUAGUCCACGCCGUAAACGAUGAGUGCUAAGUGUUAGGGGGUUUCCGCCCCUUAGUGCUGCAGCUAACGCAUUAAGCACUCCGCCUGGGGAGUACGACCGCAAGGUUGAAACUCAAAGGAAUUGACGGGGACCCGCACAAGCGGUGGAGCAUGUGGUUUAAUUCGAAGCAACGCGAAGAACCUUACCAAAUCUUGACAUCCUUUGACCGCUCUAGAGAUAGAGUCUUCCCCUUCGGGGGACAAAGUGACAGGUGGUGCAUGGUUGUCGUCAGCUCGUGUCGUGAGAUGUUGGGUUAAGUCCCGCAACGAGCGCAACCCUUAAGCUUAGUUGCCAUCAUUAAGUUGGGCACUCUAGGUUGACUGCCGGUGACAAACCGGAGGAAGGUGGGGAUGACGUCAAAUCAUCAUGCCCCUUAUGAUUUGGGCUACACACGUGCUACAAUGGAUAAUACAAAGGGCAGCGAAUCCGCGAGGCCAAGCAAAUCCCAUAAAAUUAUUCUCAGUUCGGAUUGUAGUCUGCAACUCGACUACAUGAAGCUGGAAUAGCUAGUAAUCGUAGAUCAGCAUGCUACGGUGAAUACGUUCCCGGGUCUUGUACACACCGCCCGUCACACCACGAGAGUUUGUAACACCCGAAGCCGGU
rnacentral:rRNA from 1 species